rnacentral:rRNA from 1 species
UACGUAGGGGGCAAGCGUUGUCCGGAAUCAUUGGGCGUAAAGCGCGUGUAGGCGGUUCGGUAAGUCUGCUGUGAAAGUCCAGGGCUCAACCCUGGGAUGCCGGUGGAUACUGUCGGACUAGAGUACGGAAGAGGCGAGUGGAAUUCCCGGUGUAGCGGUGAAAUGCGCAGAUAUCGGGAGGAACACCAAUUGCGAAGGCAGCUCGCUGGGACGUUACUGACACUAAGGCGCGAAAGCGUGGGGAGCGAACAGG